rnacentral:sRNA from 1 species
GCCAGGCGUGGUGGUGCACACCUGUAAUCCCAGUGGCUCAGGAGGCUGAGGCAGGAGGAUCAAAGCCAGCCUCAGCAAAAUCGAGCACUAAGCAACUCAGCGAGACCCUGUCUCUA